rnacentral:rRNA from 1 species
ACAUUGGAACCACCUGAUCCCAUCCCGAACUUCAGCAGUGAAACGAUUGUAUCGCCGAUGGUAGUGUGGGGUUUCCCCAUGUGAGAGUAGGUCAUCGUCAAGA